rnacentral:telomerase_RNA from 1 species
UCAGGGUCAGGAUGAGCGCGGACAGUGGUAAUCAAUUCAAAGUUAUUAACUUAUAGACCGAUUACCAUUUAACCCAAUAAUCCUGAAGAUGGAGUUCAUUAUUUGUUCAUAACGAACGAUAAUGCCUUUUUAAUAUUGUUUCUUAGCCAUUUGGGUGAUCAAUUAGCAAAACUUGGAAAUGGCCGUACAUUGUCCUAUUUGCUAUCCUGGCUGUUUUU